rnacentral:rRNA from 1 species
UACAGAGGUGGCAAGCGUUGUUCGGAAUUACUGGGCGUAAAGGGCGCGUAGGCGGUCCGAUAAGUCCCGUGUGAAAUCCCUCGGCUCAACUGAGGAAUGGCACGGGAAACUGACGGGCUUGAGUUCGGGAGAGGGAAGCGGAAUUCCGGGUGUAGCGGUGAAAUGCGUAGAUAUCCGGAGGAAGACCAGUGGCGAAGGCGGGUCUCUGGACAGUUCCUGACGCUGAGGCACGAAGGUCAGGGGAGCAAACGGG